GGAAUUCUGAAGAGAGUUGAUCACUACCCAGCUUUGAACAGGAACCUUCCCCACCUAUUACAACUACUUCUUCAACUGAAGGUCAGAUUCGUUGAGUAGUCCUGUAGGUCGUUAAUGGUCAAUGUGGUAUUUGGAAGAUCUCCCAGACUCUAAGGCUUUUCCUCAUUAUUUAAUACAGGACUGCAUCCUGGUCAGUGACAAAAGGAAAAAUCUUCCUGAAAUAACACGAAGUGAAAACCCAGUCCAGUGGAGAAGAGCAGGAAGAUGCAUCAAUCAACCGUUGCACGAUUGCAAAGUCUACCGUAUUGUAAGCCAUUGAAUCCCACGAAGGAGGACUGUGGAGCCUGCAUGAGGAUAUUCUGAGAGAAACAGAAAAUGGGGAGGAGCAAAAGGAGGAGAGAGAGAGAGAGAAUCUCCAGCAGACCCCCCACUGAACAAGAAGCCCAAUGCAGAGCUUGAUCCCACAACCAAUGAGAUCAUGACCUGAACUGAAACCAAGAGUCAGAGGCUUACCCAAGUGAGCCACCCAGGUGCUCCUAGCAUAUAGAGUUUUAUUGGAAUUUUAUUAUGUAGGCAUAACUGAUUGAGUCUUUGGCCAUGUGGCUGAACUUGAUCUCCUGCCCCUCUCCCCUCUCUGAAGUUGAACUGAUAUCAUGUGACUCAAAAGCUGAACCCCCUAAUCACUUGGUUGGUCUUUUUUGUAAGGCCAGCCCCCAUCUUGAAACAAUCUAGGUACCCUCUGUAAGUCACCUCAUUAGCAUACAGUCCAGUGUGGUCUGAGAGGCCCAUCAUGAAUAACAGCGACUAUUUUAUCACAUAGGAUAUUCCAAAUUUAGACUCUCUCUCAGGUACAAGGGGACAAAGAGGAGACAAAUUGUUUAAUAUGCAACAUUUAAGUUUUAGAGAUUGUGGGGAUUUUUUGUGUACAUAUUAUGCAAUAUAUAAAAUAAAAAUAAACAUAGAGUGUCCUACUCAUGGGAACAGUGUAAGCCAUCUUACUGGAGCACAUCAAGUGUGCCUACUUAAUUCCAGUUCAUGCUCUCCCUGCAUGGGAAUAUCCUCUACCAUGCCUUCAUGAAGCUGGAUCCCAUCACUUCCUCAAUAACCUCACAGUACACUUCUUCCAAGGAAACUUUCUGUUUUGUGCACUUUGGGCCAGUGGUUUUCUUUUUUA
rnacentral:lncRNA from 1 species